rnacentral:rRNA from 1 species
GGUUGAUCCUGCCAGUAGUCAUAUGCUCAUUUCGAAGACUAAGCCAUGCAUGUCUAAGUAUAAGUUUUUAUACAACGAAACUGCGAAUAGCUCAUUACAACAAUUAUAGUCUAUGUGGACGUAAAUUACUACACGGAUACCUGUGGUAAUUCUGGAGCUAAUACGUGACUAAACAUCCAUUUGGAUGUCACUUAUUAGAUAAGAACCAACCUAUGCUUUGCAUAGUGAUUUGGUGAUCCAUAAUAAGCUCGUGAAUCGCAUAGCAUCUGCCGGCGAUAUUCCACUUGAGUUUU